CGCGGAGUGGGGCCCUGUGCCCGUUCCCCUGUUCACGUGCACGCCUGGGGCUCGCUGGCUGAGGGGCUGGGUGUGUCAUGCGGUGGUUGUCCAAGGGCUGCACACCUGCGUGUCCCUGUAGGUGCGUGUACCCGAAGGCGUGUACCUGGAGGCAUGUGUACGCAUGUGUACCUGUAGGUGUGUGUACCUGUAUGUGUGUACCUGUA